rnacentral:misc_RNA from 1 species
GAUGAAGAACGUAGCGAAAUGCGAUAAGUAGUGUGAAUUGCAGAAUUCAGUGAAUCAUCGAAUCUUUGAACGCACAUUGCGCCCCUUGGUAUUCCAUGGGGCAUGCCUGUUCGAGCGUCAUUUGUACCUUCAAGCUUUGCUUGGUGUUGGGUGUUUGUCUCGCCUUUGCGUGUAGACUCGCCUUAAAAUAAUUGGCAGCCGGCGUAUUGAUUUCGGAGCGCAGUACAUCUCGCGCUUUGCACUCAUAACGACAGCGUCCAAGAGUACAUUUUACACUCUUGACCUCGGAUCAGGUAGGGAUACCCGCUGAACUUAAGCAUAUCAAUAAGCGGAGGA